GACUUGAUAUGAUCCAAAGCAUACUAGACACUCACCUUUAGAGAAAUUUCGGCCACCCUCUAUUCAUACAGGCUUCAGACUCGAUUUUCUUCUAAAAUACAAUGGAUCUGAUUUAUUAUAAGCACCGUGACUCUGGUAAAUUUUUGGUGAACUCACAGUUGGUCAGAAGUAGUCUAAAUAAGAAGAGAAAAAAGAAGAUAAAGA
rnacentral:lncRNA from 1 species